GAAAGUAUGGCUCAAGUGGUGGAGUGCUUGUCUAGUAAGCAUAAAGCUUUGAGUUCAAGUCUCAAUCUUCUUU
rnacentral:tRNA from 1 species